rnacentral:rRNA from 1 species
ACUCCUACGGGAGGCAGCAGUAGGAAGGUCUUCCGACAAUGGGCGAAAGCCUGAUGCAGCCAUGCCGCGUGUGUGAAGAAGGCCUUCGGUUGUAAAGCACUUUCAGUAGGGAGGAAGGUAGUGUAGUUAACACCUGCAUUAUUUGACGUUACCUACAGAAGAAGCACCGGCUAACUCCGUGCCAGCAGCCGCGGUAAUACGGAGGGUGCGAGCGUUAAUCGGAAUUACUGGGCGUAAAGCGCAUGCAGGCGGCCUGUUAAGUCAGAUGUGAAAGCCCGGGGGCUUAACCUCGGAAUUGCAUUUGAAACUGGCAGGCUAGAGUCUUGUAGAGGGGGUAGGAAUUUCAGGUGUAGCGGUGAAAUGCGUAGAGAUCUGAAGGAUACCAGU